rnacentral:lncRNA from 1 species
GCCUCUCCCCUCAUCCCCUGGGUCCUCCUUCCGCCACCCAUCAGCAGUCACAGUGCCGCCUGCACGCUGAGCAUCACUUGGCAGUCCAGGCCUCUAGGCAGGCUCCAGUGGAUGGAAAAUGCAGACCCUCCUGCUCAGAGAGCUCUCUAACGGGAGAGGACAUCGAUUUGGAAAGCCUUGGGGUGCUGUGAGGAGUGGCUUACCCAGCCGCUGAGCCCUGUUCCCUGUGCCAGUGCCCCAGAAACGGGCCCAACCCCCAGCUCUCCUGGCAUGGAUUCAGGCUCCGUUCCACAUCACUCCUUUAGGCGUAAAAGACACCGGGGCCAGCAGCUAGCAGAGGGAGAGACGCAUCUCCUGGAAGUCGAUCCGAUCAGAACUCCAUUCUAUGGUCCCAGAGCUUCACGUGGCCGUGGUUUGCACAGAGGCAGCCGGAAGACAGGAUGGCAUCCUGAGCGGUGGGGGAGCGAUAGGUGCCAGCCAGCAGCAGGACCCUGGGACCGUGAGAGGCCCCCAGGCGGUAAGGGACAAGGGCUUCAGCCACAGGACACCAGUGCA